AACGCGUGGGUAACCUGCCUUAUAGCGGGGGAUAACUAUUGGAAACGAUAGCUAAUACCGCAUAACAAUAGAGAUUGCAUAAUCUUUAUUUGAAAGUGCCAACUGGUACACUAUGAGAUGGACCCGCGUUGUAUUAGCUAGUUGGUAGUGUAAUGGACUACCAAGGCGAUGAUACAUAGCCGACCUGAGAGGGUGAUCGGCCACAUUGGGACUGAGACACGGCCCAAACUCCUACGGGAGGCAGCAGUAGGGAAUCUUCGGCAAUGGACGAAAGUCUGACCGAGCAACGCCGCGUGAGUGAAGAAGGUUUUCGGAUCGUAAAACUCUGUUGUUAGAGAAGAAUGUUGAUUAGAGUGGAAAAUUAAUCAAGUGACGGUAUCUAACCAGAAAGGGACGGCUAACUACGUGCCAGCAGCCGCGGUAAUACGUAGGUCCCGAGCGUUGUCCGGAUUUAUUGGGCGUAAAGCGAGCGCAGGUGGUUUAAUAAGUCUGAUGUAAAAGGCAGUGGCUCAACCAUUGUGUGCAUUGGAAACUGUUAGACUUGAGUGCAGUAGAGGAGAGUGGAAUUCCAUGUGUAGCGGUGAAAUGCGUAGAUAUAUGGAGGAACACCGGUGGCGAAAGCGGCUCUCUGGACUGUCACUGACACUGAGGCUCGAAAGCGUGGGUAGCAAACAGGAUUAGAUACCCUGGUAGUCCACGCCGUAAACGAUGAGUGCUAGUUGUUUGGGGCUAUCCAGCCCUAAGUGACGCAGCAAACGCAUUAAGCACUCCGCCUGGGGAGUACGACCGCAAGGUUGAAACUCAAAGGAAUUGACGGGGGCCCGCACAAGCGGUGGAGCAUGUGGUUUAAUUCGAAGCAACGCGAAGAACCUUACC
rnacentral:rRNA from 1 species